GGGUCAGUAGGCCGGUCGUGCCACCGGUACGUACUGGUCUCACUGAUUCCUCCUUCCUGAAGAACCGUAAUGCCAUUAAUUUGGUGUUGCGGGGAAACAGGACUGUUACUUUGAAAAAAUUAGAGUGUUUAAAGCAAGCUAACGCUUGAAUACAUUAGCAUGGAAUAAUGAAAUAGGACGAUCGAUCCUCUUUUGUUGGUUUCUAGGAUUGACGUA
rnacentral:rRNA from 1 species